rnacentral:rRNA from 1 species
UACGAAGGGUGCAAGCUUUAAUCGGAAUUACUGGGCGUAAAGCGCGCGUAGGUGGUUCAGCAAGUUGAAGGUGAAAUCCCCGGGCUCAACCUGGGAACUGCCUCCAAAACUACUGAGCUAGAGUACGGUAGAGGGUAGUGGAAUUUCCUGUGUAGCGGUGAAAUGCGUAGAUAUAGGAAGGAACACCAGUGGCGAAGGCGACUACCUGGACUGAUACUGACACUGAGGUGCGAAAGCGUGGGGAGCAAACAGG